UGUCGGGAGGCAUUCACACCUCUGGGAACCGGCUAUGAACUCCGAGGAGCAGGGCAGUGGACAUGGAGUAUGAGCCACGAAGAGCCACAUGUGCCUGGGGCCAGAGCACAUAGGAGGCGGGGGCUCCUCGGAGACCCAGGCUGGGCUGAGGCAGAGCCAUACUCAUGACGCCCACCCUUGCCUCCACCACGGCCCCAAAGGUCUUCCCUCUGGCCACCAGCUGUGGGACCACAUCUGACUCCAAAGCAGCCCUGGGCUGCCUGGUCUCUGGCUACUUCCCAGAGCCGGUGACUGUGUCCUGGAACUCAGGCACCCUGACCAGUGGCGUGCACACCUUCCCAUCCGUCCUGCAGUCCUCGGGGCUCUACUCCCUCAGCAGCAUGGUGACCGUGCCUGCCAGCAGCUUGGAGAGCCAGACCUACACCUGCAACGUAGCCCACCCGGCCAGCCGCACCAAGGUGGACAAGAGAGUCGAGCCAAGAACACCCAAGCCAGAUGAUCAGCCCAGACCACCCAAGCCAGCUGAUCAGCCCAGACCACCCAAGCCAGAUGAUCAGCCCCAAACACCAAACAGGCAUGAAGACCAGAAGUCCUGCCCCAAGUGUCCCAAAUGCCCAGCUCCUGAAAUCCCAGGAGGGCCGUCGGUCUUCAUCUUCCCCCCAAAACCCAAGGACACCCUCACGACCUCCCAGACGCCCGAGGUCACCUGCGUGGUGGUAGACGUGAGCCAGGACAGCCCUGAUGUCCAGUUCAGCUGGUAUGUGGAAAAUAAAGAGGUGAACACGGCCACGACAAAGCCAAGGGAAGAGCAGUUCAACAGCACCUACCGUGUGGUCAGCAUCCUCCCUGUCCACCACCAGGACUGGCUGAGUGGAAAGGAGUUCAAGUGUAAGGUCAACAACAGAGCCCUCCCGGCCCCCAUUGAGAGGACCAUCUCCAAGGCCAAAGGGCAGGCCCGGGAGCCACAGGUGUACGUCCUGCCCCCACACCAGGACGAACUGUCCAAGAACAGGGUCAGCGUGACCUGCCUGGUCAAAGACUUCUACCCACCUGACAUUGUCGUCGAGUGGCAGAGCAAUGGGAGGCCAGAGCUGGCAGAGAAGUACAGCACCACCCCGCCCCAGCAGGACAGCAACGGGUCCUACUUCCUGUACAGCAAGCUCUCAGUGGAGACGAAUAGGUGGAAUCAGGGAGUGAGGUUCGCGUGUGAGGUGAUGCAUGAGGCUCUCCACAAUCACUACACUCAGAUAUCCAUCACCAAGUCUCUGGAGGUGGUCCUGGACGAGAGCUGUGCUGAGACCCAGGACGGGGAGCUGGACGGGCUGUGGACCACCAUCUCCAUCUUCAUCACACUCUUCCUGCUCAGCGUGUGCUACAGCGCCACCGUCACCCUCUUCAAGGUGAAGUGGAUCUUCUCCUCGGUGGUGGAGCUGAAGCGGACCAUCGUCCCCGACUACAGGAACAUGAUUGGGCAGGGGGCCUAGGGCCACUCUUCCUGGGCGGGCAUCCUGGGCUGGUCCAGACUUUGGACAGGAUCUGGUCCAUCUGUUCUUGCUGCUCAGCCUGCCACCCAGACCUGCUCCUCUGCCUUCUGACCUUGCCAGACUUGGACCUCACUGCCCCCUUUGGCCUGCAGUGUGCCUUCUGACCUCACAGCCACCACAGGCUGUAUCCUGACCCCUGACCCCCGUUGGAGAACCAAGUGGACGGCAGAUGUAACCCUGAGCUGAGAUGAUGGACACCCACCAGUCCCUCCGCAGCAGCCACCAAGAAACACCAGGGCCAUGU